GACGAACGCUGGCGGCGUGCUUAACACAUGCAAGUCGAACGGAAAGGCCCUGCUUUUGUGGGGUGCUCGAGUGGCGAACGGGUGUGUAACACGUGAGUAACCUGCCCUUGACUUUGGGAUAACUUCAGGAAACUGGGGCUAAUACCGGAUAGGAGCUCCUGCUGCAUGGUGGGGGUUGGAAAGUUUCGGCGGUUGGGGAUGGACUCGCGGCUUAUCAGCUUGUUGGUGGGGUAGUGGCUUACCAAGGCUUUGACGGGUAGCCGGCCUGAGAGGGUGACCGGCCACAUUGGGACUGAGAUACGGCCCAGACUCCUACGGGAGGCAGCAGUGGGGAAUAUUGCACAAUGGGAGGAAGCCUGAUGCAGAAACGCCGCGUGCGGGAUGACGGCCUUCGGGUUGUAAACCGCUUUCGCCUGUGACGAAGAGUGAGUGACGGUAAUGGGUAAAGAAGCACCGGCUAACUACGUG
rnacentral:rRNA from 1 species